UACGUAGGGUGCAAGCGUUAAUCGGAAUUACUGGGCGUAAAGCGUGCGCAGGCGGUUCGCUAAGUCAUAUGUGAAAUCCCCGGGCUUAACCUGGGAACUGCAUUUGUGACUGGCGGGCUAGAGUAUGGCAGAGGGGGGUAGAAUUCCACGUGUAGCAGUGAAAUGCGUAGAGAUGUGGAGGAAUACCGAUGGCGAAGGCAGCCCCCUGGGCCAAUACUGACGCUCAUGCACGAAAGCGUGGGGAGCAAACAGG
rnacentral:rRNA from 1 species